AGAGUUUGAUCCUGGCUCAGAGCGAACGCUGGCGGCAGGCUUAACACAUGCAAGUCGAGCGGGCACCUUCGGGUGUCAGCGGCAGACGGGUGAGUAACACGUGGGAACGUACCCUUCGGUUCGGAAUAACUCUGGGAAACUAGAGCUAAUACCGGAUACGUCCGAGAGGAGAAAGGUUUACUGCCGAAGGAUCGGCCCGCGUCUGAUUAGCUAGUUGGUGGGGUAAUGGCCUACCAAGGCGACGAUCAGUAGCUGGUCUGAGAGGAUGAUCAGCCACAUUGGGACUGAGACACGGCCCAAACUCCUACGGGAGGCAGCAGUGGGGAAUAUUGGACAAUGGGCGCAAGCCUGAUCCAGCCAUGCCGCGUGAGUGAUGAAGGCCUUAGGGUUGUAAAGCUCUUUUGUCCGGGACGAUAAUGACGGUACCGGAAGAAUAAGCCCCGGCUAACUUCGUGCCAGCAGCCGCGGUAAUACGAAGGGGGCUAGCGUUGCUCGGAAUCACUGGGCGUAAAGGGCGCGUAGGCGGCCAUUCAAGUCGGGGGUGAAAGCCUGUGGCUCAACCACAGAAUUGCCUUCGAUACUGUUUGGCUUGAGACCGGAAGAGGUAAGUGGAACUGCGAGUGUAGAGGUGAAAUUCGUAGAUAUUCGCAAGAACACCAGUGGCGAAGGCGGCUUACUGGUCCGGGUUCUGACGCUGAGGCGCGAAAGCGUGGGGAGCAAACAGGAUUAGAUACCCUAGUAGUCC
rnacentral:rRNA from 1 species